CGGACGGGUGAGUAACGCGUGGAAAACCUGCCGGUAUAACUGGGGGAGUAACACUUAGAAAUAGGUGCUAAUACCGCAUAAGCGUCACAGCUUCGCUAUGAAGCGGUAGUGUAAAAACUCUGGUGGUAUACGAUGGUUCCGCGUCUGAUUAGCUAGUUGGUGAGGUAACGGCCCACCAAGGCGACGAUCAGUAGCCGGACUGAGAGGUUGGCCGGCCACAUUGGGACUGAGAUACGGCCCAGACUCCUACGGAAGGCAGCAG
rnacentral:rRNA from 1 species